GUUUCUGUGUCCUGGCAACAUCUCAUACAAAGGCGGCUGAUAUGCCAUUUGUUUUCAGCGCUUAACUCGCCCAUUUGGAACUUCAGCUUCUGCCACAUUUCCACCUUGCCAACCCGGCUCAGACGGAAUGCCUAGGUCUUACCCCUAAGCAACGGGGGUGAGGCCCAGAAGACUGUGCUUCCACAUGCUUAGCAGGAGCAGACAAUAGGCUUUUUACAAACCGCCAUUGUGCACUGUGUCAGAGAGUGUCAGAAUGCACCUAUGUCAGAAAGGGCCCUUUGCUCUCAGCCGUGCCCUGCAUUGCUCUAGAGGUGGAAGGCACAAAGCACUGCCUCCAUCCUUCAAUGGGAGACAAGCCAUAAACUGUCUUGCCUCCAGCUCUUUAGGAAGAUGAGAAAGAACUCGCUUUCCACAGUGCUGUUACAGCAUACGAGGAAACACUCAUACAAAGGCAGCUCAAACGCCGUUUCUUCCCAGCGCUUAACUCGCCGCUUUAGGACUUCUGCUUCUGCCGCAGUUCUACCUUGCCAACCCGGCUCAGACGAAAUGCCUACAUCUUUCCCUUCAGCAAAGGGGACGAGGCCCAGAUGACUGUGCUUCCACAUGCUUAGCAGGAGCAGAAAAUAGGCUUUUUACAAACCGCCAUUGUGCACGGGUGCAGAGAGUGUCAGAAUGCACCUAUGUCAGAAAGGGCCAUUUGCUCUCAGACGUGCCCUCCAUUGCUGUAGAGGUGGAGGGCACAAAGCACUGCCUCCAUCCUUCAAUGGGAGACAAGCCAUAAACUGUCUUGCCUCCAGCUCUUUAGGAAGCUGAGAAAGAACUCGCUUUCCACAGUGCUGUUACAGCAUACGAGGAAACUCUCAUACAAAGGCAGCUCGAAUGCCAUUUCUUCUGAGCGCUUCUCUCGCCACUUUAGGACGUCUGCUUCUGCCGCAGUUCCACCUUGCCAACCCGGCUCAGAUGAAAUGCCUACAUCUUCCCCUUAAGCAACUGGGCUGACCCCCAAAUGAUUGAGCAUCCAUGUUCUUAGGAGGUGGUAUACUGCACGUCUUUUUCCAACCACCAUUGUGCACUGCUGGAGAGAGUGUCGGAAAGCAGCUAUGUCUGAAAGACCCCUUUGCCGUCAGCCGUGCCCUCCAUUGCUCUAGACGUGGAAUGCACAAUGCACUGGCUCCCCUCCUCAACGGGCGACAAGCCACAGGCCAUCAUCCUUCCAUCUCUUGAGGAAGCUGAGAAAGAACUCGCUUUCAACAGUGCUAUUUCUGUGUCCUGGCAACAUCUCAUACAAAGGCGGCUGAUAUGCCAUUUCUUUUCAGCGCUUAAGUCGCCAAUUUGGAACUUCUGCUUCUGCCAGAUUUCCACCUUGCCAACCCGGCUCAGACGAAAUGCCUACAUCUACCCCUUAAGCAAUGGGGGCGAGGCCCAGAUCACUGUGCUUCCACAUGCUUAGCAGGAGCAGACAAUAGGCUUUUUACAAACUGCCAUUGUGCACUGGGUCAGAGAGAGUCAGAAUGCACCUAUGUCAGAAAGGGCCCUUUGCUCGCAGCCGUGCCCUCCAUUGCUCUAGAGUUGGAAGGCACAAAGCACUGCCUCCAUCCUUUAAUGGGAGACAAGCCAUAAACUGUCUUGCCUCCACCUCUUUAGGAAGCUGACAAACAACUCGCUUGCCACAGUCCUGUUACAGCAGACCGGGAACUUCUCAUACAAAGGCAGCUCAAAUGGCAUUUCUUCCCAGCCCUUAACUCGCAGCUUUAGAACUUCUGCUUCUGCCGCAAUUCCAAGUGGCCAACCCAGCUCAGACGAAAUGCCUACAUCUUCCCCUUAAGCACCUGGGCUGAGUCACAAAGGAUUGUGCAACCAUGUGUUUAGCAGGAGAGAGACAAUAUGCUUUCCACCAACCACAGUAGACCACUGGUGGAGAGAGUGUCAGAAAACACCUAUGUCAGAAAGGCCCCUUUGCUCUCAGCCAUGCCCUCCAUUCCUCUAGAGGUGGAAGGCACAAGGCACUGGUUCUGGAUCCACCCCUCAAUGGGCGACAAACCACAUCUUGUCCUGCUUCCAGCUCUUUUUGAAGUGGAGAAAAAACUCCCUUUCCACAGUGCUCUUACAGCGUCCUGGGAACAUCUCAUACCAAGGAGGCUGAACGCCGUUUCUUUUCAGCACUUCACUCGCCAGUCUGGGACAUCUGCAUCCUGCACAUUUCCACCUUGCCAACCUGGCUCAGACGAAAUGCCUACAUCUUCCCCUUGAGCAAUGGGGAUGAGGCCCGGAUGAUUGUGGUUCCACAUGCUGAGGAGGAGAGAGACAAUAGGCUUUUUUUCUUUCUUUCUUUCUUUUUUUUUAUUUUUAUUUUUUAUUAUUUUUUUUAUUUUUUUUAUUAAUGUUAUGAUAGAUUACAAGCUUGUGAGAUUUCAGUUGUACAUUUUUAUUAGUCAUGUUGUGGGUAC
rnacentral:lncRNA from 1 species